GACGAACGCUGGCGGCGUGCUUAACACAUGCAAGUCGAACGAAGAGCGAUGGAAGCUUGCUUCUAUCAAUCUUAGUGGCGAACGGGUGAGUAACGCGUAAUCAACCUGCCCUUCAGAGGGGGACAACAGUUGGAAACGACUGCUAAUACCGCAUACGAUCUAAUCUCGGCAUCGAGGAUAGAUGAAAGGUGGCCUCUACAUGUAAGCUAUCACUGAAGGAGGGGCUUGCGUCUGAUUAGCUAGUUGGAGGGGUAACGGCCCACCAAGGCGAUGAUCAGUAGCCGGUCUGAGAGGAUGAACGGCCACAAUGGGACUGAGACACGGCCCAGACUCCUACGGGAGGCAGCAGUGGGGAAUCUUCCGCAAUGGACGAAAGUCUGACGGAGCAACGCCGCGUGAGUGAUGACGGCCUUCGGGUUGUAAAGCUCUGUUAAUCGGGACGAAAGGCCUUCUUGCGAAUAGUGAGAAGGAUUGACGGUACCGGAAUAGAAAGCCACGGCUAACUACGUG
rnacentral:rRNA from 1 species